UACGAAGGGGGCUAGCGUUGCUCGGAAUCACUGGGCGUAAAGGGUGCGUAGGCGGGGCUUUAAGUCAGGGGUGAAAUCCUGGAGCUCAACUCCAGAACUGCCUUUGAUACUGAAGAUCUUGAGUUCGGGAGAGGUGAGUGGAACUGCGAGUGUAGAGGUGAAAUUCUUAGAUAUGACAUAGAACACCAAUUGCGAAGGCAGCUCGCUACGCGGUUAUUGACACUGAGGCACGAAAGCGUGGGGAUCAAACAGG
rnacentral:rRNA from 1 species